rnacentral:lncRNA from 1 species
UCCAGCUGCACCUUGAGGUCGGCGACGUCGAGGCCCCACUCUUUGUCCUCGUCGAGGUAAUAGGGCACGAGGGUGCCGCCGUACAGAGCGAGCGAGGCGGAGUAGAGCGGGUACUGGGGGAUGGGAACCAUGACCGCAUCGUUGCCGUCGCGAAUCAGGGUUUUCAUGAUGUGGUGGCACGCGACGGAGGCGCCGUCGGUGAGCCAGAGGUCCUCGAUGUCGCACUUGUGCCCCCCAUCCCUUGCCUCGAUGCCGUCAGCGACCAUCUGGCGGAGCGCGGCGACCCCCUUGGACUCUGAGUAGGCGCCGGUGCCGCCCUUCAUGUUCCCUAGGAUGUGUUUGGCCGUGGAGAUGACGUCGGAGGGAAAGAGCUUCCCAGCCUCGGGCGCGUCCAUGAGCUGGGGGUAGUCCGUGAGCGCGAGCACCUGGCGGUAAAACGUGAUGGGCUUCUGGCCGACGCUCUGCGGGUUGCCGAUGUUGCACAUGACGAUCUUAUCGAAGGGUAAGGACGCCGGGUCCUUCUUGAGCUGCGCCUCGAGCUCCCCGGCCCUGGUCACGAUGGCGCCGCGAACGGCGUACUCCAUCGCCCUCACCUUGGGAUUGAUGGUGUCCACAGUUAUUGCCCCCAUCUCUCUCCGCGUCUGAAACUGGAGGUUUGUGAUGUGCGAGCCGAGCGUCGCGGGUGUCCUGUGCGUCGCGAGUUGUUCAACUCCGCGAGUGGCGCUGAGGAAUUGUCUGGUCGCGAAGCGUUUGGCGAGGCGGGAAAGAGUCGACAGCUUGACGGCUCGUCACGGCACUCGGAGGUGCGUCCGAUCCCAGGCGCGUCGAAGAAUACCGUUUAGGGCGGAGUCAGCUCGGCACCGGGAUUUGUGCGGGU